rnacentral:tRNA from 1 species
CGCGGGGUGGAGCAGUCUGGUAGCUCGUUGGGCUCAUAACCCAAAGGUCGGAGGUUCAAAUCCUUCCCCCGCUA